rnacentral:rRNA from 1 species
UACGUAGGGGGCGAGCGUUGUCCGGAAUCAUUGGGCGUAAAGCGCGUGUAGGCGGUCCGGUAAGUCCGCUGUGAAAGUCGGGGGCUCAACCCUCGGAUGCCGGUGGAUACUGUCGGGCUCGAGUACGGAAGAGGCGAGUGGAAUUCCUGGUGUAGCGGUGAAAUGCGCAGAUAUCAGGAGGAACACCAAUUGCGAAGGCAGCUCGCUGGGACGUUACUGACGCUGAGACGCGAAAGCGUGGGGAGCAAACAGG